AGGAUCUGAAGCGAUUUAAGUGAAAGAACUCCACCUAUUAUAGUGACAACUUUCAAUGCUGGCAUCCCUUCAAAAAAAUGUUCUGGAACUUGCAAUUCGUGGUCGUAUUCAGGAUUCUCCAAUCGCAAAAUAUGAAGGUUAAGGCAUACCAAACCACUAGGAAGCUCUUCUUUUUUAUUUUCCACCAAAGCGAUUCCUCUGUAUUGUUCCAGGCCUUCUUUCAUUGCCCGUUCUGCCAAUCCAAUGCCAACUUUACUAAAAAAUUUCUUCUCCUCUAGAACUAUUGAGCCUAUCCAUAUGGCUACAUCACGAACUAUGUCAUGCAUUUUCACAGAUCUGUCAUUACCAGUGUCUAACAGCAGUGACGCAGCUUUGAGCGCGUUAAUCGUUCCAUGCAGUCGGCUUCUGGCGUUUUCUAUUGACGGAGCACAUUGAUACCAAAUAACCACCACUGCGUAUCCAACCAAAUCCUCCAAAUAAAUCUCAUAAUCUUCUGGAAACAGAGAACACAACAAGAAGCAUAACUUGGACUCCUCACUAUUUAAAUUGUCGUAACUGAAUUUAAGACAACCGUAAACGUCUUGGUCAUCCUUGUCAAUACCUUCUAUUGCAUAGAGUUUUGCUUCCUUUAGGUUAUUUAGUGCUAGUUUCCAUUCAUCAGAUCCUUUUUCUCUUAGUGCACUUCCAACAGCUUCAAUAGCUAAAGGCAGCCCCUUACAUUCGUCGGCAACUUGUUUUGAAACACCAUCCAAGGAGGAGUCAUUUACAUUAAUACCGGCAUUCAUUUUUAGUAGAGUCAAUCCUUCUUCUGGUGUUAUUGUACCAAGUUCAAUCUGUGGGUAACAACCGAAAAAACCACAAAUUGACUUUUUGCGAGUGGUUAGAAGGAUUUUGCAACAAUUGUCUCUAUCACCAAUGGGAAUACCUAAUUUUUUCUCCAAGUCGAGUUGUUUCCAAACAUCAUCAAGGAUUAUGAGGAUUUUGCUGCUUUUACUCUCAGAAAACAUCAACCGCAAUCGAUCUGCUCUCUCUUUUUCAUCUGUCUCAUAUAACGCCCAGCCUAACGACUUUACCAGCUUACCUUGAACCUUUAUUAUAUCUGGAUCCUGAGACACAGUGACUAUCCCAACUUCAUCGAAAAUCUUUUGUUGCCGAAGUUGAUUGCCCACAAAAUUUGCCAAGGUCGUCUUCCCUACACCACCGAGACCGUGCAAUCCCACCAUUUUUGUGCUCUCUUUUUUUAGUGCUUCAGUGAUCUGAAUGCAAGCCAACUCUGUAGCCUUGAAAGGAGAAAAACAUCUCGGUAUAGGCAAUUCUUUGUCUGAUGGUAGAGAUUUAGGACGGGCAACUGUGCUGAAUUUGAUGCGUUCUUGUAGCAGAUCGGACAACUUGCUAGUCUUCUUUGAUGCUUUUCUACCCAGCCAGUAUCGCCAACCCCAAUUAGGACACCAUCCAUUAAGACAACUCUUCUUUUCAUCUAUCUUUGCUUUCAAAUUUCGAACGUCGGCCAUUUCUUUGUCUACAUCCUCAAGCCAUGUCUCGACAUCUUUCUCGACUACUAUAGCACGGUGUAUUUGUCGUUCUUGUUCUACUCUUUCAUUGAUGCCAUCUUUUUCCUUCUUCAAAUUGGUUUCUUUAACCUUAAGUUCUUUAUCUAUGCUGUUGAAACAGAGCAGAUAGCGAGCUUGGUUUAUGGUUGCAUCCGCCAAUAAUUCUCCAAGCUUUGAUGCAACACCUGAUAAAAUUUCCAUGCUAUUUAUCUGCAAUUAACAAGUUGAUCUCAGUAUGCUAUAAGCAAAACAUCAAGGCUUGAUCACAAGAUCGAACGAGAACGUUUAAUUGCUUUAAUUUUCUUUUUUUUCGGCUUAUUAACGCCAUCUUUGAUCAAUAAGAGCAAAAUGCAAAACAGAAGAGAAUAAAAUAAGGUUGACGUUAUAUAUGAUGGAUUACAUUGAAAUUGGAUUACUUUAGAAAUUUUUAAAUAAAAAUAUCAAACAACAAAUUUUAUAGAAUCCGGAUAAACCUAAGAGUUUGUUGUGCAUUGCGAGUGAAGACAGGCAGUUGCAUGGGGAAUAUGAUAAAAGUGAUGAAUAACUGAAAAGCCACCCAUAAUAACAAUUAAAAAGAGUAUUAGAGAUUAGAGGAGUUCAACAUCCCAUGCAAGCCCACUCAUGAAAAAAUAUGAAUGGUUUCAAGAUGAUUACUCUUUUUUUUUUUUACCUUUAAUAAAGAUUCUAAUAAAAUAAUACCAUAAUUUCAAAUAAUAUCUUAAUUUCUUUUUCCUUUAAAUGUUCAUUGAACUCACAUAUUGGAUAAUUAAUUUAAUCAUUUGUUAAAUUAUUUAUUACCCUAUCUUAUUAUUCGAUAGAUAUAAAUGACACCUUAUUUGGUAUGAUAAAAAAUUGGGGUAAAUUUUCUUUUAUUCUCAGAAGUUUGGACCUAUUACUAGUUAUAGUAUUUGUAUUUUUUAAAAUUUUACCUAAACGGUCCAUGUCAUAACUUUUAUAGCCAUCGAACAUGACUUUUCAAGUGUAAGAUAAUAUUUUUGUCUGUUAUAAAUUAAAAUUCAAAUGAAUCAAUCAUGCAACAAAUGAAACGUAAAUAAUAUUAAUUAGGUUUUAAUUGGAAACAAAUAUAAAAAAAUUGAUUUUUUAUUAAUUUAUGUGAAUUCUUUUAAUGUUCGAAUUAGAAUUGAAUUUGUAUAAGGAUAAUUUAUAGGGAGAUAAUCUGCAAAAUAAGCUUAUUUGUCGAAUUUAAAAGAGUUAUAUUAGUAAUCAUAUAUUUAUCAAAUUUUUUUAAUAAAAAUUUUGUUUAAAAAUUGGCCAAAUGGGUUUCAUGAAGAAAAUAGAAGAGCAUGCGCCACUUUCAAUUUUUAUUGUGGUUGUACAAUUGAAAAGACGCAUUAAAUGGACCAAUUUGAAAUGGCAAGAGAGCAUAAUGGACUCAUGUUGGGACUUGGAUAGGAAAAUUAAUUUUAUUUUAAAGUAUGGUCAACAGUACUGACUUGGAGGUGAUUGACGUUAAGUUAAAUUAAUGGAAACAAAUGGCAAAAAAAAUUUAAUGAAAAUUAAUUAAUGAAAAAACGCAUUAAAAAAUUAGAACUUAAGUUCUUGAUCAUUUUGUCCGUAUGUUUUUAAUCCAAUGGCUCAGAAUUGGCAUAAAACUAGCCAUUGGAAGUAAAACAAAAAUCAAAUUAAGGGCCUAUGAAACAAUAAGAUCUCAUACCUUCUUCGUUAUAUAUCCUCAAUUACUGCUGAAAUCCCCAGUUAAGAGAGUCGCACAAGUUCGGAGAAAAUUAAAAAGCUGCACAUGGCAAUAUAAAUAAAUAUCAGAUCAAAACGACAUAGGAUAUAUCUAGCUAAUUAACAUCUUAUAUAAGUCCUUGUUCUCAGUCAAAUCUUUCAUCAUUAGAAAAAAGAAAAAAAAAAGAUUGAAAUAAUAACGGUAUGUUUUUAAUCCAACGCGCAAAAUUGGAAGUAAAACAAACAUCAAAUUAAGAGCCUGUGAAACAAUAAUAUCUCAUACCUUCUUCCUUAUAUAUCCUCAAUUACUGAUGAAAGCCCCAGUUAGAGUCGCAUAAUUUCCGAGAAAAUUAAAAGCUGCAUCUAGCAAUAUAAAUAAACAUCGGGUCAAAACAACGUAGGAUAUAUCCAGCUAAUUAACAUCAUACAUAACUCCUUGUUCUCAGUCAAAUCUUUCAUUCUUAGGAGAAAAAAAAAAAGAUUGAAAUAAUAACUGUAACUGAUAUAGGAAGCAAAAGUAACAUACCAAAACGAGGGCAGCUAGCUCACAUAUCUGGUGACUUCCAAGAGCAUGAAAAAUGAUUGAGGUUUAAUAGCAAGGUCCGAGUCAUGUUUCAUAAGUUGCUAUUCACUUCGUGGCUUCGCUUUUCUUUGUUUUUUUUCUUUUUUUUGUUUGUUUGUUUGUUUAUAUAUAUAUCUUACCCCCUUUACCAAACACCAUUUUAGUAUUUUCUUUAGCAGUCCCUGUAAUUAUCUAUAAAUAAUGAAAACUAUAAGUUUUAAAAAUUUUAUAUAAUAAGCCCCAAUUAAAAUAUAAUAAUUUCAAAAUUCUAAAAAGUUUAUUUAGCAUUUUCUUCAACAAUCCCUAUUGUUUGCUAUAAAUAAUAAAAACUAUAAGUUUUAAUACUUUUAUGUAAUAAACCCAAUUAAAAUAUAAUAAUUUUAAAAUUCUAAAACUUUAUUCUCUCUAUCACCUUCUCAAUCAAUUUUAAAUUUAAGUUUCAUUCUUUAUAAUUUUAAAUUUAAGUAAUAGAAUAAAUAUUAUAUAAUUUAUUUUUUUAUAUCAAACAAAUAAUUGAUCAGCUUCAUACGUGGGAUAAAGUAUAAGUAAUUUUACAUAAUCUCAAAUUUACGUAUAGAAAUUUAUUAUUUUAAAAAUAUUAUUUAUAAACUCUAUUAUGAAUUUAAAUGACUAUCCAAGCAUUUAUUUAAUAUUUAUUUAUUUUUCAUUUUAAUAUUGUCAAAAUUUAUAUAAAACCUUAUCUAAUUUUCUGUUACACUAAAUACAAAAUAGUAUUAUUAAAAUAUAAUUGGAUUUUUUAGUAAAUGGAAGUGGAGAGUAUUUUACCAAGUUAAAAUAAUCCAUCCAUAUUUUAAAUAUAUAAAUAUGUUCAUUUACCAAAUUACUUUUGAUAAUAAAAUAUUUAACGGAUCAAUGUGUCAAAAUUUUGACAUUUAAUUUUUUCUUAUUCUUUUAGUAAAAAUAAAGAACCACAUCGUUAAUAAUCAAAUGAUUACAUCUAAGCCUUUACAACUCUUAGGUUGGAAUAGUCUUUACAACUCUUAGUUUGAAUCUAACCGUUGGAUCACAAAAAGACAAAAAUUAAGUAUAAAAAAACAGUUGCAUUGUAGCUUAAUCCAUAUUCUAUAUUAGUGUGAAUUGAAAGGUGGAAAGUGAAAUGGUGCACGUGCCUUCUCACCUAUGAUGAGGGGGUAAUUUUUAGAAACCUUUCGUGAGGUUUAAGGUCACUCAGAUAGACUAUAUUUCGCUACUGCCAAAUACCUCCCUGCCCAUUUGUACUCAGUUUAGCAUCUUUUGGAUGGUUGAGGGUACUUUGGUAAAACUCACUUAAAAAUAAAAAAAUUCAAAGAAAUUCUAAAAGAAGCUUUGUAUCUGGGUUAUCUUUGGAGUUGUCGUGGGAAUGAAUUUGAAUCUAAAGAUUUUCAUUCUCUUAUUUUAUUUAUUUCCCCUAGGAAUGAAUUUAAGCCUUAUUUUUAUGAGACUCAUUCUUUUUAAAUAAAGGUAGAUAUCUCCCACAGAUUUGAGGUAUAUUUUUAAAAUUAAUGUUCAAUAUAUCUGUGGAUUGUAUUAUAAAUAUUUAUGUCUAAAAUCUCAACAGAUUUCACAAUAUAUAUAUAGUAAUGUAAUUGAUGAGGGAUCUGUUAAGUUAUCAAAUUAAGUAGGAUUAGCUAAACGAUAAAAAAAAAAACACAUUAUGAUUGGAAAUAUGGAAUUGGAAUUGUGAUUAUAAUAGGAACUUUAAUUGAAAUUGUAAUUGUAAUCGCAACUAGAAUUGUAAUUGCGAUCAGAUAUGUAAUUAUCAAUGUAAUAGAAGUUGUUCUUGUAAUUGUUACGGCUAUUGCAAUUGUUCUUGUAUAAUUGCAACUGUGUUUUUAAUUUUAAUAACAAUUAAUAAUACAAUUAUAAUUGUGAUCAUAAUUGCCAUUGUAAUUACAAUUGUAUCUUUAAAAAAAUUGUAAAUACAGUUGCUAUUCUAUUUAUUAUUACAAUUACAAUUUUAUUAUCGUUAUUCUUAUUGUAAUUGUUGUUAAAUAUUAUUAAAAUAACGUACAAUUGUUAUUGUAAUUAUUAUUGUAAUUGGGAUUAAAAUUGUAAUUGUAACAAAGUAAUUGGAAUUACAAUUGAAAUUAAAGUUGUAAUAGUUGUUUAAAUUAAAUUUGGAAUUAAUAAUAAAAAAUGAAAUUGAAAUUAUUGAUGUAGUUAUUGUAAUUGCAAUUGUAAUUUUAAUUGUAAUAAGUGCAACUGAAAUUAUCAAUCGUAAAUAUAAUUAAAAUUGUAAUUAGAAUUGUUCAACAAACAAUUACCGAAACAUUUGUACAUGUUAUUUUUUAUUUUUGAAAAAGAAAGAGAAGCAACAGUAACCAAUUUUUUAGAGUAGUAUUAAUGUUGCGUUUAAUUGUUAAUAAUCUAAAUGGGUUGGAAUGUGAAUGAGUUAGAAUGUGAAUCAGCUGGAAUGGAAACGGGGAAUGGAAAUCAGAAUAAGUUGUUUACUUUAGUUGUAGAAAUCAGAAUCGGAAUGGGCUGGAAUUCUAUUGAUGUGUUUAUUUUAUUUGGGAGUAAGAAUCAGAAUAAGUUAAAUUAUUUCAAGUUACCAAAAUGUUGUUAGUUAAUUAUAAUAUAGCUAUUAUUAUUAUCAUCGUUGUCGUCGUCAUUAUCAUCAUUAUCAUUAUUAUUAUUUGUGAUUUUUAUUAUUAUAAAAAUGAUUGUUAAUAAUAAUAUUAUUGAAAAUAAUAUCAUUAAUAAUUUAUUAAAAUAUCUUUUGUUAAUUAUUGUCAUUUGAUGGUGAUGGUGGUGGUGGUGGUGGUGAUGACGACGACGAUGAUAAAUAAUAAUAAAUAAAUAAACAAACUAAUAAUAGUAAUAAUUAAUAUAUUAAUAACAAUAACGACGACAACAACAAUAAUAGUAAAUUUUAUAAUAUAAAUAAUAAUAAAAAUAAUUAAUAAUUAUAAUAAUUAUUAUUACAAUAAUAAAUAAAUAAUAGUAAUAAUUAAUAAAUUAAUAACAAUAACAAUGAUAAUAAUAAUAAUUUUAUAAUAAUAAAAUAAUAAAAUAAUAACAACAACAACAACAAUAAUAAUAACAACAAUAACUAAAUUCCAUAAUAAUAAUAAUAAUAAAUUUUCAGUUUUUUUAAUUUAUAUUUUUUAAUUUCCAAAAAGGAUAUUUUGGGUAUAUUUAAAAUACAGUAGGGAUAAUUUUGUUAUUCUAGGAAAUGAGAUUUCUAUUCCCAACUCCUCUUAAGGAAUCGCAACUCUAGCAAUCAAUCUAAAAUUUAUGAGGGGACAUGAAUAUGAUUAUUUGUUCAAACAAUAUUAUUUUAAUUUUAAAAAAAAGAAAUGGGCCUCACAUUAUUAUUUGUUCAAACAAUAUUAUUUUAAUACAAAUGACCAAAAUAAAAUUUAUAGUCACUAAAAAUUUAAUCACAUAUAUAUAUAUAUAUAUAUAUUAUAACAUAAAUAUGAAAACAACAUGUGAAAAAAAAUACAAAGGCACCAUUAAAAUUGAUGUACAACACUAGAAUAAUCUUUGUUGUAGGUCCCUUUUUUUGCAUUUAAAAAUUUGUAAUAAUUUAAAUAAAACAUUAGAAGUGGGUCUCACAUAUAGUUUAUUGUAUAAUUUUUUCAAACAAUAGUAUUUUAAUACAAACGACCAAAACAAACUUCAUAUUCACUAAAAAUUAAUCAUAUAUAUAUAUAUAUAUUAUAACAUAAAUAUGAAGACUACGUUUGUUGUACAGCACUAGAACAAUAUUUGUCGUAAGUCUUUCUUUUGCAUUUAAAAUUUCGUAAUAAUUUAAAUAAGACAAAAGAAGUGGGUCUCACAUUAAUUUAUUGUAUAUUUUUUUAAACAAUAUUAUUUUAAUACAAACGACCAAAAUAAACUUCAUAUUCACUAAAAAAUAAUCAUAUAUAUUAUAACAAAAAUAUGAAAACAACAUUUGAAAAAAAUACAAAGGCAAUGUACAACACUAGAACGAUCUUUGCCGUAGGUCCCUUCUUUUGCAUUUAAAAUUUCGUAAUAACGUAAAUAAGACAGAAGCAAUGGGUUUCGCAUACAAUUUAUUAUAUAAUUUUUUCAAACAAUAUUAUUUUAAUACAAAUGACGAAAUACAAAGACACUUUUAAAUUUGUUGUAGAGCACUCGACCAAUCUUUGUCGUAGGUCCCUUCUUUUGCAUUUAAAAUUUCAUAAUAAUUUAUAUAAGACAAAAGAAAUGGACCUUACACAUAAUUUAUUGUAUAAUUUUUUCAAACAAUAUUAUUUUAAAAUUUCAUAAUAAUUUAUAUGAGACAAAAGAAAUGGGUCUCACAUAUAAUUUAAAUGAGACAAUAUUAUUUUAAUAUAUAUGUGUAUAUAUAUAUAUAUAUAUAUAUAUAUAUAUAUGUAUGUAUACAUAUUAUAACAUAAAUAUGAAAAUAACAUUUGAAAAAAAAAUACAAAGACACCUUUAAAUUUGUUGUAAAGCACUCGAUCAAUCUUUGUCGUAGGUCCCUUCUUCUGCAUUUAAAAUUUCAUAAUAAUUUAUAUAAGACAAAAGAAAUGGACCUUACACAUAAUUUAUUGUAUAAUUUUUUUCAAACAAUAUUAUUUUAAUACAGACGACCAAGACAAAUUUCAUAUUCACUAAAAAUUAAUCAUAUUUACAUUAUAACAUAUGGCAAUUCCUAAGUUACGUUUUGUGUAACUUACGGCCUGGCAAAUCUUGAGUGUUAAAUGUGCUUGUAUCCAAUCCAACGGACGACAUCAAAUUUAUCAUAAAGUAGUAACGAAUGAUAACCCGAUUGAACUGGUUAUUUCAAUUGAUGGGCUACCCGUCCUUGCCUUUCUCUUAAGAAUCUAAGCAGCGAAGAACUUGACUUGGAAAUUGGUGAGGAAGCACUGUUAAUCAGAGAUGAGUCUAGAGGCGGCGACCUCCCAUGCGGCGUCGGUCCGUUGAAGCUGAACGAGCCACUAAUUCGCUGCCACACCGGUGCAUAAUUAGUUCUUGUGAUUCAAGACAUGAACAACUUGCUCCACCUGGAUUUGCAAGUCCAUCUGCAUAAAAUGACAAAUUCGGUGGUCGAUUUUGAGGAGGAUGGUCUUGGUCCUCUUGGAGGAGAUGAAACUUCUCUUGCUUAACAUUUGGGUCUUCCUAAUUUUUGUUUCUUCAGACAAAUGCAAACAUUUGUGAUUCAUUUCACUGAGACCCACUAGAAAGUCCUCAAAUCUCUAAUACCCGUUUCUUUAGGAAGAUCUUUCACUUAACCAAUCACAAAAAAGAUGUCUUUACUUAAAGUUCAGGAAAAGGCACAAAGGAACAUUAAACAUAACCGACCACAGAAAAAAUCCAAUUUUUAGUUAAAUGGUUAAAAUUCAAUAAAGUUAAGAAAUCAUGUUUCACUCUUUCAGGGAUUGCAUCCCUUGUCAAUUAAUCUUUUCUUCGUGCAUGGUUCAACCUGAAUAUGUCAUUCAACACGUAAAAGCUUCCCUAAAGUUUUGGCAUCAAAUGGAACAUCUGCUGAACCCACAAGUUGGAGAUUAUCGGAGACAAAAAUAAGCACGCUGCCAGCGGGACUACAGAGCUGGCAAUUGAUGGUGGUGAUGGAGUGUUGGCACUACAGGAAGGGAUGGCUAGUGAACUCAGCAACGAUAUUUUGCGAGUCUACGCCUCCCUCUCUUUUCUAAUUUCGCAUUUACUGUUUCCGCUGUAGACUCACGUGACCGAGAGAGAGAGAGAGAGAGAGAGAGGAGUCUUCUUAAUUUAAUGUUUAGAAUUUAAUCAUGAAACGACCUCGUUUUUAUUUAUUGCCACGGAUUGUAGAAGGUAAUCUUUUACGCUACGUUUGGAAAGAUAUAAUUCAAUUAAAUUAGAGUAGAUUAUAUAAUACUAUCUUUUGUUCGGUAUAAUAUUGGACAUGACUAUGCUAAUUUAAUUUAAUAAAGCUAAAUAACUAUUUAAAUAAUAUAAUAUUUUUAAAUUAUAUUGACAAUUGUUUACUUUAAUAUUUAAUAUCCAAUACUAGUUUAAGUAAAUUAAUGAAUAAAAUUUUGAUAUUCUAUAUAAAAUAAAAUUACAUGUUGAAAAAAUUAUGAAAUUAACUUCUAUGUUUAAUUUUUUUCUAAAUAUUAGGUUAAAUGAAAAAUAAAAUAGUGAAAAAAAGGAUACAAAUUCUUCAUUUAAUUUUAUUCCACCUAAACCCAUAUAAAUAUGAGGACUAAUAAUCCCAAUUUUUUUGACAAACUUUUAGUCUAUCCUAUUAAUUCAUGACACCUAAACAUACCUUAGAAUUAACCUAUUUUAUUAAUCUUAAAAUAUAAUCCAAUCGCGCAAUUUAUCCAACCUUCCAAACAUAACCUUAAUUGACUCUUUUACCAUCGGUCUCCAACCGUUUCCACCAAUUACAAUUCCUUACUGUUACAUACAUGUGGCAUAUUUUUACUGGUUGACUAAUUAAAUCACGGGCUGUAACUUACAGUAAAACGUAACUUAGGGCGACCCCAUAACAUAAAUAUGAAAACGACAUUUGAAAAGAAAAAUACAAAGGCACCUUUUUAUUUGAUGUACAUUACUAGAAGAAUUUUUGACAAAGAUGUUACAACCUAAAGAAUGAAAAGGUCUAAAGUUUAAAGGUGAACAUGGACCAAUUGAAGACACGACAUGUUUUACAGCUCAAUGUCGUUAAUUAAUAUUAUAUAAUUGAGUAAUUUUAUCUCUAUAUUAAGCACGCACUGCCUCAAAUUGCAUGCAAAUACAAAAACAAACUUCUGAUUUUUUUUUUUAAUUUUUAGGUUAACAAUUGAUUUUUUAUUUUAAAUUUUGUUUUGUUUUUAUUUAACAAUUAAUUUUAAUCAAAUCUUAAACUGUCGUAAUCAAUUAAGAUUUUUCAUUAUGACUCCUUAGCUAAAUUUUGCUCCUUAACUAGAUUUUGGAUCUGUAAUAAAUAAAAAUUGGUAAUAUUUGUUCCUUUAAGAUAUAAAAUAACCGUAACAUUGGUUUUUACAUUUUGAAUUUUUCUUGAAUUACUAUUUUAAAAAAAUGAUGUUAAAUAAAUCUCACAAAAUAUACAAAGCCAUCUAACAUCCAAAUAUUGAUUACAUUUAUUUUGUAUUGUUGGAAUGACGCCAAAGCAAUUGAAAAGAUAUCAAAAAUAAAUAAUAAUGAUGAAGAUUGGCUACGGGAUUUCACUGAAGCUAAGUUGUGACUUGUGACCAUCCAAAUGUCCGUAACAACUUAUGAUUAUUCUCGCAGCACAAAUCCAAUAGCAUGCAACAAAAUCCACUCACUUAACACUGCCUCUGAAGAAAAUAAAACAGAGUAAAAAGAGCAACCAUGCCUGUGAAUGUCUUUACUUUUCUCCUUAUAAUUUGGGUAAACUCUAUCAAAUGAAAAUGCACCAUGACCACAUGGGUCACUGCCACUACCAUUUACUCCUUCAACUGUGCCUCCUGCUUCAAGAAAUCUUCAACUGAAAGAUGGACUAUAUAAUUCAAGAUAAAAAAUACACCUGAGCUGCAAAGGAUACUAUCCACUAGCCUAUCAACGACUAUACUUUAUAUUUUUCUAGUUUUUGAAUCAAAAUUCUGCAAGAUUUAGUUUGGAAAACUUCGACACAACAACCAAACACUCAGUCCUUUUGUGCAUUAUAUCCACCGUAUGAUUCCUUAACAAAACAUCCGUAGCCUGUAGCUUAUCUGACACUGUCCUGACCCAAAGGCCCGCUCUUUUCAACUCAUCUGUCAAACCAUUACCCACUUUUGGAGUCAAAACUGCCCUCGCAGCCCUUUAAUAUUUCUCCAUCUUCAUUGAAUACGUGCCAACCAAAUGCACUCUCUUCCCUCUGGCUGAUUCUGUUUGAUUCAACCUCUUUUGUUGUUUACACUCAUGAAUUUGCAUAAAAUAAUUAACAAGUUUGUCGUCAUCAUAAAAUCCUUCCACAAUCACCACAUACAUUCUGCUGAGCAGGACUCAUUACACCCUUGUUUUCCAAUUGGCUAAACAAUUUUUUCUCUUCUCUUUGCUCUCUUACAACUUGAGGCAUAUAAUUAAAUGCGUGGCAAUUAGCAUAUAUCAUGAUGUAUUUAACAACCCCAAAUGAAGAUACUGAUUUUUUUUUUCAGUUUAAUGGCUGCUUCAAAUGGGGGAACUGAAUUUGGGGGUUUGUUGCCUAAAUCCCAAAAAAUUCCACAUUAUGUUGGACAGUUUUUGGUUCUACAGAUGAUGAUCGGUUUUCCGAAUAAACGUUCAAAAGGAAACAUCUAAACAAUGAGACAAAUGGGUUCUGGAUUUCUAACCCUGUAAACGUUGUUCUCUCGCAUAAGUUAUGAAAUUUCUGAAGCAUCACUGUUCCCGUCGUUCCUGGGAGAAAAAAAGUCGAAGAACUGCUCGUGGAACAAAAUUAAAAAAUUUAAACUAUGUUGAGAGACUUUCCCUUCAACUAACAGUUAAAAGAAAAAAAAAAGUAUUCGAUAAGCAUUUUCAAAGGAAAAUGAUCAUCCAUUUGUUGUACUUAGGCAGGAAAAAUAAAUAUAUCAACCCCAUUAAACCCUCACAUCUGCUAACUAAUAAUGCAUGACUUAAAAUUCUUGGAGAAUUGCUUUUUCUUAGCAAGUAGAGCAGAGUAAAAUCAGAGAGCUUUCGUUUUCUGAAAAUAAAACUUGAAUUGAUUUCAUUGCUUACAGGCCAACGUAUAUAUACAUAAGAAAACAAAAUGACAGCUAGCUAAAAGACAACAAAUUUAGAUAAAACAAAAACAAUCACUAAAUUAUUGGCCAAUAAUAUAGAGCUUCUAGAAUCUUCAUCCAAUCAUCCCAUGUGCUGAUAUUCCUCUGUGUAACUGUUUUGCCACCUCAUUGAAUUCAUUUCUUUCAUCAGCUGACUGUAAUUGUGAGUAGCUCAGGUGGCAUGCCACUGUAGCAUUGAGGUCAUCAGUUGACUGGCUAAGAUCAUGGCUACCAUGGCUGCUAUUUUCAACACCCUCUCUCAAACACAAGGCUUUGUCAAACACCUUGAGUUUGCUUCUGAAGCAGCUAAAUUUGUAAUAAGGCAACGGCUUAGUUAGAACAUCAGCUAUUUGAUCCCUGCCUGCAACAAAGCUGAUUUCCAUUUCACCUCUAGCUACCUUGUCCCUGAUAAAAUGUAGGUCUAUUUCAAAGUGUUUAGUCUUUGAAUGAAAAACAGGAUUGGUAGCUGUUGCUGCUGCACUUGUGCUAUCACUUAAGAUUGUUGGUGUUCUUUGUAUCUCUAGUUUCAGCUCACUUAGUAAGGAGCUAAUCCAUGUAAUUUCUGCAGCACAGAGGGCCAUUGCUCUGUAUUCUGAUUCAGCCGUAGAUCUAACAACCAAACCUUGCUUUCUUGAGCUCCAAGCAAUGAGAUUUCCACCCAGAAAUACACAAUAGCCACUGAUGGACCUCCUGUCAUCCAAAUCAUUUGCCCAGUCUGCAUCUGUGUAAGCCACCAGAUCGAAAUACUCUGACUUCUUGAAUUUCAGACACAUGUUCAUGGUGUUUUUAAGAUACCUCAAUACUCUUUUGCAUGCUAUCCAGUGAGGUUGCCUAGGAUCUGACAUGUAUUGGCUGAGCUUGUUCACUGAGUAAGCAAGUUCAGGCCUUGUGAGUGUUGCAUACUACAGGUUGCCUAUAACAAUUCGAUACAGUGUGGGAUCAUGAAACUUUUCUCCUUCAUUUUUCUUCAGCUUUUCUGUGGUACUGAAAAGUGAUUCAAUUCCCUUACAGUCACUCAUUUCUGUUUUGGCAAGCAAAUCUUGAAUAUACUUGGUUUGAGACAGCAAAAUGGCAUUUUGUUUUCUGUUUACCUGAAUCCCCAGAAAGAAGUUUAGCUCUCCCAAAUCCUUUAAGGCAAAGGUCCUAUUUAAGUUGCUAACCAGCUCUUCAAUACUACCACUGUUAUCACCAAUAAUAAUAAUGUCAUCAACAUAAAUAAGCAAUAUAACUAUCUCAGAUUUAGUUUUUCUGUAGAACAAUGAGGUAUCACACUUAGAAUUUUCAAAUCCCCAAGAGUUCAAGGCACCCUUCAGUUUGUCAAACCAUGCCCUGGGGGCUUGUCUCAAGCCAUACAGUGCUUUCUUUAAUCUGCAUAUGUGAUUGGGCUUGCUUUUGUUCACAAAACCUUCAGGCUGUGGCAUGUAAACCAUCUCUGUUAGCUCACCAUUCAAGAAAGCAUUGUUUAUAUCUACCUGCCUCAACAACCAGUCAUUGUUCACUGCCAAAGUGAGGAUGAUUCUGAUUGUUGCAGCCUUGACAACUGGGCUGAAAGUCUAUGUGAAAUCAAUGCUUGGAAUUUGCAAGAACCCCUUCACCACUAAUCUGGCCUUAUAUUUGUUUAUGGUUCCAUCUGGAUUCUCUUUAACUCUGUACACCCAUUUAUUUCCAAUCAGCUUGUAGCUUGAGUCAUUUGGUACCAAGGUCCAUGUUUCAUUUUUCAUUAAGGCAUUGUACUCAUCUUCCAUUGCCCUUUUCCAGCUUGGUUCUUUUAAAGCUUCUGAGGUGUUUGAGGGUAAUGCUAUGUGUGGUUGAGUAGUGAUUUGGUACAACUUUGGUUUAAAGAUCCCUGCUUUCGAUCUUGUUACCAUAAGAUGUGAUGGUAUAGCUUCUUUGUGUUGGGUGCUAUGAUAGAGGAUGAAGGUUGGUCAUUUGCUUGAGGUUGGUGAUUUGAAUGAGGUGAGGAUAACUGAUUAUUUGAUAUCAUAUCAUUGCUUAAAUUCUGUUGUGUCUUACCUUGGUCAAGGUUCUGGGAUUGUUCUGUGUUUUCAGGAGCUUCAAGAGAGUGACUUUGAUCAGCUGCUGACUGAGUGUUUUGAGAAGUAUCAAGGAAGAAUGACACGACCUGAAAUUUUUCUAAAAGAUUAAGGAAGACAUCCUGACUUGUGGACGCUUCCCUGCUGAACUUGGGGUCAUUAGAAAAAGGGAAUGAGCUUUCAUUGAACCUGACACUUGCAGAGACAUAUAUUCUACCUGAGUGAUGCAUGCAAACAUAUCCUUUGUGAGUUAAGCUUAUUCCUAGCAGUGUGCAUUUGGCAGUAUGGAAAUCAAACUUGUGCUUGUUAUAUGGUCUCAGAAAUGGAUAGCAUUCACAUCCAAACACUUUGAUUUGUGAGUAAUUUGGUUUGUGAUGGUAAAACAUUUCAAAUGGGGUUUUGUUUCCAAUAACAGGUGAGGCUAAUCUGUUGAUAAUGUAGGUAGCAUAACUGAAGGCUUCUUGCCAGAAUUUUAAUGGCAUUUUAGCUUGUGCCAGCAAUGUGAGUCCAGUUUCUACUACAUGUCUGUGCUUUCUCUCAACCUUCCCAUUUUGUUCAUGUAAAUAAGGACAUGAUUGUCUCAAUAUAAUGCCCUCUUUGUCAAGGAAUGGUUUGAAUGGUUUAAACUCCCCUCCCAUGUCUGUCUGUAGUGCUUUAAUUUUCAGAUUCAGUUGAUUUUCAAUUUGGCUUUUGAAGGUGAUGAAUGUGUUGAGAGCUUGAGAUUUUGUUGCCAAAGGAAACAACCAGGUGUAUCUUUUCAUGUCAUCCACAAAAGAUAUGUAAUAUUUGUGUCCAUGAUUUGAAGGAAUUGGUGCUGGUCCCCAUAGGUCAGCAUGAAUCAGCUCCAGGGCUUUGCUGGUUUUAAUUUCUGUGCUCUUGAAAUUUUGCUUAGACAAUUUUCCAUACUAACAUGCACAACAAAAUGAAGGAACAGAAUUCUUGUUUAAUUUGAACUGAUUACAAUACAACAAAGUGCUUUUUAAGGCAGACUCAUUUGGAUGCCCUAGUCUGAGAUGCCAGAGAUCAAUAUCUUUCAAAACAUCAUUGCUUGACUCAUCAGUUUUAGAAGACUCAAAACAAACAUUAGCUAGCUUGACGUUACUAGGAUUAAAUGACAAUAUAGACACUGGAUUGCUGAUGCAACUUAUUGACUCAGACAUAAAAGAUUAAGACAAAACAGCAGUAUAAGGAGUUUUGCUCCCACUCAGGUGAGUAGGCAAGCACAACAACUCAUAAAGCCCUUCUCUAGCCAUUCAUUUCACCAGAAUUUUCCCUUGCCUCUUGUCCUUGAUAAAGCACACAGAUUUUUGAAAUUCAAUGUCAAUAUCAUUGUCAUGUAAUAAUCUGAAAAUGCUAAUGAGAUUUUUAGUGAUGCUUGGCACAAAUAAUAUGUCAUUCAAGGCAAUGUGUUUAUGUGGAUUUGAAGUGGAAAUCAUAGAAUUACCAACAUGAGAGAUCAGGAGUUUUUCACCAUUUCCAACAGUUAAUUUUUCAUUACCUUGAUACUCAGAGUUGAUGUUUAUGUUACCAAGAGCAUUUGUCACAUGGUUUGUGGCACCACUGUCCAGGUACCAGGCUCUACUGCUUUGGCCAUCAGUUGCAGCCACAUAUGCACCUCUUGGUUCUCUCCUUUGGCUUGGUUGUGGCACAUAAUUCUUUUUGAAUCUGUGCCAGCAAUCAGCAGCUAUGUGUCACAUUUUCCAGCAAAUUUGACAAGGCCCCUUUGGAUUUGAACCAUCCUCAUCACUUAUAGCUUUACCUUUCCCUUUGUCCUGAGAGUUUUGAUUUCCCUGACCAGAUCCAUUUCCAGGGGUUCUGAAAAUUAUUCCAGGCUGGUGUUGGUUUCCAGCCCUGUUGUGGUUAUUCCAAUUCCUUCUUCCAUUUCUUGCUUGUGCAUAGUUUGCCUCUAUAGUCCCUGAGCUUAAGUUAUGUUCAGUUCUGUUUUCUUGGCUGAGAAGCAUGCCAUAGACUUCAGAAUGUGAGAGACUUUCUUGCAUUGAGUUUAUGCUAGCUAUAACUGGGUCAUAUUCUGAUCCUAAACCAGCAAAUACACACAUGAUAAAGUCAUCAUCACUCAUGUUACUCCCUGCAGCCCUAAGAGCAUUCAAUAUGGACUUCAUUCUAGAGUAAUACUCAUGAAUAGUUAAUGAGCCCUUUUUGGUGGUCUAGAUUUGUGUUCUGAGGUGUAAGAUUCUAGCUCUAGUUCUUGCACCAAACUGAUUGGAAAGAGUUGUCCACACCUCAAGAGAAGUGGAACAAUCCACCACAGUGCCUAAAACUUCCUCAAUCAGUGAAGAUAAUAACCAACUCAGAAGAAUGUGGUCUUGUUUCUUCCAGACUUGGUAUUCUGGGUUGGGUGUGGUAACUAUUGUUUGGUCUUGUCCAAGGUUUAUGAAGACUCUAGGAGGGCAGAUAUGACUGCCAUCUAUGAAAUCCUCAAGCUCGUUUGCUCUAAUGCUGGAAGUCACUUGUGAUCUCCAAAGCAUGAAAUUGUUUUGAUUGAGCUUAAUAGGGGUUGUGAAUACAUAUGUGCUGCUAGUGAUGUGUUGAAUGGGUGAGGGUGUGUUGUGACUUGAACUUCGUUCAGUGUUUUGAUUUUCAUUUUGAUUCAAGUUGUCCAUCUGAUCAUUUUGAUUCACAUUUGCUUGUGUGCUGCUACUGCUUGCCAUAACUUUAAAGAUGGCUCUGAUACCAACUUAAAAUUCUUGGAGAAUUGCUUUUUCUUAGCAAGCAGAGCAGAGUAAAACCAGAGAGCUUUCGUUUUCUGAAAAUAAAACUUGAAUUGAUUUCAUUACUUACAGGCCAACGUAUAUAUACAUAAGAAAAUAAAAUGACAGCUAGCUAAAAGAUAACAAAUUCAGAUAAAACAAAAACAAUCACUAAAUCAUUGCCCAAUAAUAUAGAGCUUCUAGAAUCUUCAUCCAAUCAUCCCAUGUGCUGAUAUUCCUCUGUGUAACUGUUUUGCCACCUCAUUGAAUUCCUCUCAUUUCUUUCAUCAGCUGACUGUAAUUGUGAGUAGCUCAAGUGGCAUGCCACUGUAGCAUUGAGGUCAUCAGUUGACUGGGUAAGAUCAUGGCUGCCAUGGCUACUAUUUUCAACAGCAUGGACUAACUUUAAAGUAAAGAUAUAAAACUUACAAGAACAAGAAAACUACUGUUUAUUAAUUUCAAAUUUUACACAAAAUUACGAAUAAUUCUAUAAGCUGCACCAAAACAUGUUCUCUAAAAGAGAUUCAGUAUCCCGCAUUUUUGGAAGCAAAAAAAUAUUUCUGGAUAGUAUAAGCUAAUACUAGAACCAUUCGUUAAUGAUGUGAGUUUGGGCAGCACCAUGAAGCUGUUAGCCCCGUUUGGUGAAAACGAAAAAUAAUUAAAAUAAAGCACUAUGAAUUCUAAUCAAAUUAUUAACAUUAGCUAAAUACACAGCAAGAAACCAGAAUAAAUUUGUUAUCUAAACCAAAUACUAAAAAAAAAAAAGGAAAAAAAAAAGGCUGUUAAAUCCCUAUCAUUUUCAGUUAGAAACAAAUAAAGCACAAAUUAAGAACAAAGGUUGAAGCAAAGCAUGAUUGUACCUUGAGGUACUUGAGCUUAGUGUUCCCAUAAACGAGACCGAGCGAAAAGCCGAAACCAGAGCAACCUAUUAUUAUUACUCAAAAACCCAGAUCACAAAAUAAAUGAUCUUUCAAUAACAAUUCAUAAAAAUUCCGUCCCAUCAUAUAUAGAACGAAACAAAACAAUGAAAAUAUUGAUUAGAAAGGAAAUUACAAAAAUGGACAAAAAGAAGAUAAAAUAUGAUGCUUUCCUUUCUUGUGGGUGGCAGAUAAAGAAACAAGAAAGAGCCAGCAAAUUGAAAAAUCGACAAAUAUAUUCAUUCGAUUCCGACUCGUAUGGCUCUUUUUCUUUGAUGAAUGAAAUAUUAUUUCACUCUCUAAUUCGUAACAAAAUUACAAGUUUCGACUUCUGUUUGUAUGUUCUUUCAUACGGGUUCCCAUUCUAGCAUUAAUAACAAAUGGGCCGGACGUGUGGCUAAGCCCGGGCGUCCUGUUGAUAGCCAGGCCUGGGCUGUUACGAGCCCAGGAAGUGUAAUCGUAAUUUUAUUGUACUGAAAAUUAUAUAAACGAUAAAUAUGAAUUUAAUUAAACUAACAUGUCUUUACAACUCAUGCAACCUUACUAUUUUCUAAUCCGAAUAUGAGAUAUAGUUAAUUUUACUAAUAAAAUCAAAAUAAUUUUUAAACAACGAAGAAAGAAAUUAUAAUAACAAUAAAUUAAUUAUGGAAAAGUAGGUUUACAAAAUUUAAUUAAAAUUCUAUUGUAAUUUUAUGUCCUUUUUUACAAUUUUAUUAAAAAGUGGGAUUUCUUAAGACUUUAAAAGGAGUGUUGGAAGCUUUACUUCGUUCAAAUUUUUGUUAUAAACCUGCAAGAAAGGGCAUUUAGGAUACCUUUGGUAAGCUGGAUUGUAACAAUAAUUUUAUUUAUUAAAAUCAUUAAAAAAUCAAUUAAUUAAAGUUCGCGUAUCCUCUUGUCUAACCAAUCAAAUACUUUCUCUCAAGACUACACAAGUGUACUUAAAAAAGAGGUGAGAUUCGUUCUUGCCUAUUAGUUAAUAUAUACAUAUUAAUUCAUCAUUGGCGCCCUUUGACACGAAGCCAUUCAUUAGUGUAGAAGAAGAAGGAGAAGAAAAAUAUUAAUGUAGAAAACACACAAGUUUAUUCAUAAUGCAGUCCCUCCCAACUCCCAACAUGGGCACAAGCACUGAAGCAAACACACUGACACAACAUAUAUAUUACAGAGAAGAAAAGAAAUUAGUAGCCAGCUAGCAGCACAUUCAACAUACAUAUAUACAGAACUUGAACGUAAUUGACAACAUCUGGAGGGAGAGGGAUAUAUAUCGAUGCUGCAGCAUACAAUUCAUAGCAUAUCAUCGAUCAUUUAAUUGCUUAUCAAAUGGUGUCCUUGAAUGUUUUGAUCAAGAAAAUGGUGAUGAUCUUCAGGGGGCCUGGGAAAUUUCUGAAACAGCGCCCUGGCCGUAGUUUGUGCAUUUAGAACUUGAUGUUACAGAGUACGGUGGUUCUCCAAAUUCAUACAUUCACCAAACUUUUCCCAUGAAAUUAUACGUUCACAUAUUGCAUAUGGCAGCUACCCUGCACAUAAAUCAUCACCAGCCAAAUCUUGCGUUUUGCAUGCAACCACCUGUCUAUAACCAUUCGCCAACGUAGAUUACCCAAGUACUCGUGUCGUCAACACUUACCCUUCACUCCAUCUAUGCAAACAAGAAUUCAAAUCACUUAUUAGCUAGUGCCUAGUGCUUCAGCGAAAGCCAAAAUAAAUUAAAAAAAAAAAUUACAGAGAAUCAGUAGCUUAAGUUAUUAUUCAACAAAGGUAUAAUAGUCAUUUAUGAAAGUUAAGGGGUUUGUGUUACUAUUUAUGAAACUAAGUAGAUCCAUAUAACUAUUUAAGCAAACCAUGGGGUGUGUGUGGUUUUUUUUUCAAAUUAAUAUUAAUUUAAAAUUAAAAAAAUUUACCAGCAAUUUGUAAGUUACAUGCUACCUUUUAAUUAAUUAUUUAAUUAUCCAUUAUAUUAAAUGAACAAUUGAGAUUAAGACACUUAAAUCUAAUGAUCCACGUUAAUCCUACUAUCAAUGCUGUAAAAAUUCAUACAGCAUCAUAAAUAAAUCCAAAGCAUAAUUGAGUAAAAUCAUUUCACAAAAUGCUCUUUCAAAUGCACAUUCCACAAGCCAAUGAGAACGGGUGGCUAACAAAAAAUACGGGUACCAGAAAAUGAGAAACACAUAUUUAUAAUGAACCCAUUUAUAAGUUUAUAAAAUCUCACUUCACAAAAUCCAAAAAUAUCCAAUACUAUCACAUAAAAAGUAAAAAUUAUUGCUGUCACAACAUUACACACUUUCUUGCCGUCUAGAAAGCUAGAACAUUUUCAUGUUCCUCAAUACAAAAUGCGUGCUACAACUAAAUUGGCCCAAUUAGUGCCCAUCGAAAAGGCCAUUAAUUUAGCCACCAAAUUUGCCAAAGGUCUAACAAUUGAAGAAACAACGAACGCAAAAGGAACAUGUAAAAUUUUGAAGUUGAACAAACCUUGGGAUACAUACAACAAAGCCUUGAAACUUUAGUCUUCACAAUUUAAGCCCGCAAUAAUAUCAUCCACCUGGAAAACAAGUACAGAACAAAGCUUGUUAGCAUCUUGGGCAUUAACCAUGAAUGUUGAGUAAAAUAAAAAAUGCAAACAGAGAAUAUUAUAACAAGAAGAAAAGAAAACAUUAAAAAAAAGUAUUAGAAAGAAAAUUUUGGUAGAAUUCUGUGGCUCAUCUGUGAAAUUAAUGUCAAUAUGUAUUUUUAUGUAAAGAGGGUCUCUUGAUUUGAGGAUGAAUCAAUCAGCUAUCACAAAUGAAAACAUGAACCAAUUAUAUAUGGAGUCAAUUAAUUAAAGUUCUCAAGAGCUUACCUCUGCUCCAGAAUUCUCGGAAUCAUCUGUCUCCUUCUGAAUUUGCACGAAGCUUGGGACAAUUACGAACAUCUUCAUAGGAUGCAGAUGGAAAUGGGAUUUGAUAACCCGCAGGCCAAAAGUUGGUGAGGUUUGGUAAACCUCUCAGUUUCAAGUCCCGAAGUUCAUUCAUAACAAUUUCGUUAUAAUUCAUGACAUCUGCUCCAUCUUUAUGCCAGAAUAGUUCUUCUAAUUCAUCAUUAGCUGUUAUGCAUAGGUACUUCAGUUUUUCAAGACUUGGAGCUACGCUGAUAUGAAAUAGAUGCUUUAGUUUGGGGCAAUGACUGAUAGAGAUAUAGUUGAGUUUUGGGAAACAUACAGGUAGGAGAUGAUCCUCAUCCUCAUCCUUAUCAAUGAUUUGCUCUAAUUCCAAGCAAUUCCAAAUAACCAAUGCCUCCAAUUGUAAUAGAUUUCGAGCAAGUGUUGAUGAGAGGAGACGUUUCAGCAUAGUGCACCCCCCUACAGUUAAUUCUGUAAGAUUUUGCGGGCUAAAAUUAUGCGUGGGUCCUUCAUGAUAUAAUACUUGCAGUUCUCGAAGAUCGUGCAAGUACAAUGUCUUCAAACAUGGGAAUAAUUUGUUUUCUUGUCCCUCAGUGAUAAUAGCUUCCAAUUGAAAUACCACUUGUACUCCAAGUUGGGUAAUACCCAAAUAUUCCAAAUUUUUUAAGCUGUGCUUCAACAGUGCUAGAAUCAUGUCACUCAAAUGGGAACAAUUUUCCACAUUUAGAAUUUUUAAGUUCUGAGACAAAUAAAUAAAUAACUUGAUGUUAUUAAAAUCUAUUAGCAGCUAGGAUUAUCACAUGAUAAGUGAUGAGCACCGCAAAAACAAAAACAGAAAACAAAAUCAAUACAAAAAUGUAAUAAUACAUAUGUAAACUAAUAAAAUAAUUAAAAAGUAAUGGAAUUUUUUUAAAUGAAAUUAGUUAGAAGAGAUCAUGUGAAGUGAUAUAAAGGUGACAUUAGAUUGUUUAAGAAAAAUUAGUAUUCUAUUAAUUUCUAUGGCUUGAUCAGCUAAUUAAUUGAAUUUGAGUUAUAUUAUAUACACUUCAAAAGUGUUUGCAUCAAUUCUUUCUAUACCAAAAUGAGAUAUGACUUUCAUUUGAAGAAUGAUUGUAGGCCCUAAAAUAAAAGAAUUUCCCUAAGAUAUUUGAGCAUUAUUAUUAUCAUCACCACAUCCACUAUCAUCAUCAUCUCCAUACGACCAAAUAAUUAAUGGCUGAUUUUAUUGUUAAACUAUCAUUUUGAGUAAAAUUAAAGGAAAAGAAAUAACGUAAACACAAACAAACAUACCUCUUCAAGAUACUGCAAAUUGGCUUCAAGUUCAGUACUAUUGACGGUCAAGUUGGGACAGUGCCUAAGGUGUGACUCUUCCAAUGAUGUCCAAAUUGAACAAUAAUUUUCUGAACAGAAGCUCAUGAGUUGUGGGAGAUCAUCAAGUGUUAAUUUUCUCAAUAAAGGGAGGGCGAGCAUCGUAUUUCCAUCUCGGACACUUAUUUCCCCUUCAUUGUGAUCAAACUUUGCUUUGACAAUACAUUCCAGUCUCUCGCAUUCCCUUACAUAGAGACUUUUAAGCUGCUCCAAACUUCGAGCUUGUGACAACGUGAAGAUAUAUGUCAACUUGUUGCACCUAUGCACAUUCAAUUCUGUAAGAGUUUGGAGGCUGAUCACAUGUUGGGCGGGCGCCUUCCAUAUCCACUUCAGUUCUGGCAAUUCCCACAUAGAUAACUCUGCUAAUCUUGAGAGCAUCACAGGAUUCCCACUCUUUCUAUGCGGCAACUCAGAGGCAUCCAUUAUGCAUUCUAAUUCUUUGCAGUUGUUGACAAAAAGACAACUCAACUCAUUUAAGCCCCUUUCAUCUAUGCUUGGCAAAAUAUAUUGACAACCUACAAUCCCACUUAAAUAAAGAAUUUCCAGUUCUUGAUACAAUGCUGAAAAAAUACCGAGCGAGGUCGCUUCACAAUUACUAAUCAUUAAGCACCUUCUCUGUCCAAAAAUUUCACCUUUUUCCAUUCCAACUUUAAGUUUGUUCCAGUUACUGACGAAGUACAUUUGCAAUUUCGGGAAUGUAAAGUCUUCUGGAAGACGUGAAAUUUUUUUGUCAGUGCGUAAAGUCUUUCCAUCGUCAUCUUGGAUUUCAUCACCGUCGGGUUGGGAGUUCAACUCAGCCGCCCUAGCGUAACUUUCUUCUGCACUCAUCCUCUCAACCUCCCAAUCUUUUAUCCAACCAUAAAAUUCUUCUAAUUGAGGAAAUUUUUUUAUCGUAAUAGGAGAAGUAGAACCAGAAUCAAUGAAUAUAAGAAGUUUCAAUCUACUAAGUUGAUCUUCAAAUUCUUCAGGAAUUUCAAUGGGCGACCCCUUGACACAAAGAAUUUGAAGUCUCUUCAACUUUCCAAGGAAAGACGCGUCACUCACGUUACAUCGAAUCAACUGCAGAACUUCGAGGUUGGUGAGGAAUUGAAGCGAUUUAAGUGAAAUGACUCCUCCUAUUAUAGUAACAACUUUCAAUGCUAGCAUCCCUUCGAAAAAAUGUUCUGGAACAUGCAAUUGAUAGUCAUAUUCAGUAGUCUCCAGUCGCAAAAUAUGAAGGUUAGGGCAUACCAAACCACUUGGAAGCUCUUCUUUUUCAUUUCCCAUCAAAGAGAUUCCUCUGUAUUGUUCCACUGCCUGUUCCGCCAAUCCAAUGCCAACCUUACUAGUUAAAUAUUUUUUCUCCAUUGAGCCUAU
rnacentral:lncRNA from 1 species